rnacentral:rRNA from 1 species
UACGUAGGGCGCAAGCGUUGUCCGGAAUUAUUGGGCGUAAAGAGCUCGUAGGCGGUCUGUUAUGUCCGCUGUGAAAACCCAGGGCUUAACCCUGGGCUUGCAGUGGAUACGGGUAGACUAGAGGCAGGUAGGGGAGAAUGGAAUUCCUGGUGUAGCGGCGAAAUGCGUAGAUAUCAGGAGGAACACCUGUGGUGUAGACGGCUUUCUGGACCGUAGCUGACGCUGAGACACGAAAGCGUGGGUAGCAAACAGG